rnacentral:rRNA from 1 species
GUCUACGGUCAUGUCACCCUGAACAAGCCGGAUGUUUGAUCUCGUAAACUAAGCAGGGUCAGGCCUGGUUAGUACUUGGAUGGGAGACCAUCUAGGAAGAUCAGGUGCUGCAGGCA